rnacentral:rRNA from 1 species
GUAUACGACUAUGCCACUAUGAACGUGCCCAAUCUCAUCUGAUCUCGGAAGCUAAACAGGGUUGGGCCUGGUUAGUAUUUGGAUGAGGGAUCACCUAGGAAUACCAGGUGUUGUAAGUG